GAUGAACGCUGGCGGCGUGCCUAAUACAUGCAAGUCGAGCGAACAGACGAGGAGCUUGCUCCUCUGACGUUAGCGGCGGACGGGUGAGUAACACGUGGAUAACCUACCUAUAAGACUGGGAUAACUUCGGGAAACCGGAGCUAAUACCGGAUAAUAUAUUGAACCGCAUGGUUCAAUAGCGAAAGACGGUUUUGCUGUCACUUAUAGAUGGAUCCGCGCCGCGUUAGCUAGUUGGUAAGGUAACGGCUUACCAAGGCAACGAUGCGUAGCCGACCUGAGAGGGUGAUCGGCCACACUGGAACUGAGACACGGUCCAGACUCCUACGGGAGGCAGCAGUAGGGAAUCUUCCGCAAUGGGCGAAAGCCUGACGGAGCAACGCCGCGUGAGUGAUGAAGGUCUUCGGAUCGUAAAACUCUGUUAUUAGGGAAGAACAAAUGUGUAAGUAACUAUGCACGUCUUGACGGUACCUAAUCAGAAAGCCACGGCUAACUACGUG
rnacentral:rRNA from 1 species